GUUAAAUGGCACUUGUACCAGCUCAGUGGACAUGGAGCUCUUCCUUCAUUAUUCCCUCAUCCCAUCACUCUUCAUCAUUUUGAUCUUGUCCUUCCUCCAAAGACGAGAGCACUGUAGACAGAGAGAUGAUACCUCUUACCUGCUGGGGAACCGUUUUGGCAUUAUCAUCCUUUGAGCUUCUGAUUGGAGGCAUUGAAGUCGGCCUGUCCCACUUCCCCUUCUUUGCCUGCCUCUCGUCGGAGUUCCAGCCGGUCAGCUCCAUCCUGGGCUUCUGCUACUCUGAUCUGGUGUGCUGUCACCGUUAUUCAAGUUUCACAGUGUCCCCAUGGGCAG